UGCCUCGACGUCUUUUAAAAUUUUGUGGCAUCCACUGUGUUGUGGUCUUUGCCCACAGUUCAUCGGACAUGCGCAUAACAUCCAUGCGCACACUAUUAC